AACGAACGCUGGCGGCAUGCCUAACACAUGCAAGUCGAACGAGACCUUCGGGCCUAGUUGCGCACGGGUGCGUAACGCGUGGGAAGCUGCCCUUAGGUUCCGAAUAACUCCCCGAAAGGUGUGCUAAUACCGGAUAAUCUCUUCGGACCAAAGAUUUAUCGCCUUUGGAUGGGCCCGCGUUGGAUUAGCUAGUUGGUAGGGUAAAAGCGGACCAAGACGACGAUCCAUAGCUGGUCUGUGAGGAGGAACAGCCAGACUGGGACUGGGACACGGCUCAGACGCCAACGAGAGGCAGCAGAGGGGAAUAAAGGACAGGGAGCGAGAGGCAGAAACGGCGCGGGCGCGAUAGUGAUGAAGGCGUUAGGGUCGGAAAUCGCUUUUACCCGAGAUGGUAAGAAGAUAACGGGGAGAAUAGGCCCCGGCUAACACCGU
rnacentral:rRNA from 1 species